rnacentral:misc_RNA from 1 species
AAUUCUCAACUCUCCUAUACUUUGUUGUAAAGGAGGGCUUGGACUGUGGAGGCUUGCUGGCCGCUCUUGCUGUGGUCAGCUCCUCUGAAAUGCAUUAGCAGAACUGUUUGCGAUCUGCCACAAGUGUGAUAAAUUAUCUACACUAGCGAGGGGAUUGCUCUCUGUGUUCAGCUUCUAAUCGUCUUCAGUGACAAUUUCUUGAAUGC